rnacentral:rRNA from 1 species
AGAGCGAACGCUGGUGGCAGGCCUAACACAUGCAAGUCGAGCGCCCCGCAAGGGGAGCGGCAGACGGGAGAGUAACACGUGGGAACGUACCCUUCAGUUCGGAACAACCCAGGGAAACUUGGGCUAAUACCGGAUACGUCCGUAAGGAGAAAGAUUUAUCGCUGAAGGAUCGGCCCGCGUCUGAUUAGCUAGUUGGUGAGGUAACGGCUCACCAAGGCGACGAUCAGUAGCUGGUCUGAGAGGAUGAUCAGCCUCACUGGGACUGAGACACGGCCCAGACUCCUACGGGAGGCAGCAGUGGGGAAUAUUGGACAAUGGGCGCAAGCCUGAUCCAGCCAUGCCGCGUGGGUGAUGAAGGCCCUAGGGUUGUAAAGCCCUUUCGGCGGGAAGAUAAUGACGGUACCCGCAGAAGAAGCCCGGCUAACUUCGUGCCAGCAGCCGC